rnacentral:rRNA from 1 species
UACAGAGGGGGCACGCGUUAUUCGGAAUUAUUGGGCGUAAAGGGCGCGUAGGCGGCUUGGCAAGUGGAAGGUGAAAUCCCUCGGCUUAACCGAGGAACUGCCCUCCAAACUGCUUCGCUUGAGACCGGGAGAGGUGAGUGGAAUUCCCAGUGUAGCGGUGAAAUGCGUAGAUAUUGGGAGGAACACCAGUGGCGAAGGCGGCUCACUGGACCGGUACUGACGUUGAUGCGCGAAAGCGUGGGGAGCAAACGGG